UAUGUAGGAAGCAAGCGUUGUCCGGAAUCACUGGGCGUAAAGCGCGUGUAGGCGGUACGGCAAGUCGGAUGUGAAAUCCCACGGCUCAACCGUGGAAGUGCAUCCGAAACUGCAUCGCUGGAGUCUCGGAGAGGAAGGUGGAAUGCUUGGUGUAGAGGUGAAAUUCGUAGAUAUCAAGCAGAACACCUGCGGCGAAGGCGGCCUUCUGGACGAUGACUGACGCUGAGACGCGAAAGCGUGGGGAGCAAACAGG
rnacentral:rRNA from 1 species